AGGGUUCGAUUCUGGCUCAGGAUGAACGCUGGCGGCGUGCCUAAUACAUGCAAGUCGAACGAGGGUGCUUGCACCCUAGUGGCGAACGGGUGAGUAACACGUAGGUAACCUGCCCUUAAGCUUGGGAUACCCAGAGGAAACUUUGGCUAAUACCGGAUAACAACAGAAGAGGCAUCUCUUCAGUUUGAAAGGCCCUUUACGGGGUCACUUAAGGAUGGACCUGCGGCGCAUUAGCUAGUUGGUGAGAUAACAGCCCACCAAGGCGAGGAUGCGUAGCCGACCUGAGAGGGUGAUCGGCCACAUUGGAACUGAGACACGGUCCAAACUCCUACGGGAGGCAGCAGUAAGGAGUUUUCGGCAAUGGGGGAAACCCUGACCGAGCAACGCCGCGUGAGUGAAUGACGGCCCUAUGGGUUGUAAAGCUCUGUUGUAAGGGACGAAUGAUUCGCUUAGGAAAUGAAGCGGAUUUGACGGUACCUUACCAGAAAGCCACGGCUAACUACGUGCCAGCCGCAGC
rnacentral:rRNA from 1 species